UACGAAGGGGACUAGCGUUGUUCGGAAUUACUGGGCGUAAAAGCGCACGUAGGCGGAUUUGUUAGUCAGGGGUGAAAUCCCGGGGCUCAACCUCGGAGCUGCCUUUGAUACUGCAAGUCUCGAGUCCGAUAGAGGUGGGUGGAAUUCCUAGUGUAGAGGUGAAAUUCGUAGAUAUUAGGAAGAACACCGGUGGCGAAGGCGGCCCACUGGAUCGGUACUGACGCUGAGGUGCGAAAGCGUGGGGAGCAAACAGG
rnacentral:rRNA from 1 species